UACGGAGGAUCCAAGCGUUAUCCGGAAUCAUUGGGUUUAAAGGGUCCGUAGGCGGUUUAAUAAGUCAGUUGGUGAAAGCCCAUCGCUCAACGUGGAACGGCCAUUGAUACUGUUAAACUUGAAUUAUUAGGAAGUAACUAGAAUAUGUAGUGUAGCGUGAAUGCUUAGAGAAUUACAUGGAAUACCAAUUGCGAAGGCAGGUUACUACUAAUGGAUUGACGCUGAUGGACGAAAGCGUGGGUAGCGAACAGG
rnacentral:rRNA from 1 species